UGGGGAAUUUUGGACAAUGGGGGAAACCCUGAUCCAGCCAUCCCGCGUGUGCGAUGAAGGCCUUCGGGUUGUAAAGCACUUUUGGCAGGAAAGAAACGUCAUGGGUUAAUACCCCGUGAAACUGACGGUACCUGCAGAAUAAGCACCGGCUAACUACGUGCCAGCAGCCGCGGUAAUACGUAGGGUGCAAGCGUUAAUCGGAAUUACUGGGUGUAAAGCGUGCGCAGGCGGUUCGGAAAGAAAGAUGUGAAAUCCCAGAGCUCAACUUUGGAACUGCAUUUUUAACUACCGGGCUAGAGUGUGUCAGAGGGAGGUGGAAUUCCGCGUGUAGCAGUGAAAUGCGUAGAUAUGCGGAGGAACACCGAUGGAGAAGGCAGCCUCCUGGGAUAACACGGACGCUCAUGCACGAAAGCGUGGGGAGCAAACAGG
rnacentral:rRNA from 1 species